CAAUUUCCCUCUCUCUGACGGCGGCGGUGGCGCAGUAGUGCUUUUGCAGGAGCUGCUCUGGCACUGCCCAUAAUAUUGCUGCUAUGACUGCUGUAGAUGUCAGUACUGCUUGUCUCAUGAGUAGUCAAAGAAGAUUCUUGAAGUUAGGUGCAAGACUUGCAGAAACUCCACAUUUGUGAAAGGGAAACAGUGAAGCCUGAAUGUCACCAUUGAUUCACUGUAGAAGUCAUCACCAUCAUUCAUUUCUGAGGACAUUGACUGCAAGCUAUGAACAAACAACUUCAUGUUUUACUUUGCAUUUAUUGUCACCAAUUCUUCAGCCUUCCAUGUCCAAAGCUGCCAUUAUUGAUCAAAGAAGAGAUGUAAGUCAAUAUCUAAAUUAUUUUAAUCUUUCAUAGCAGAAAAAAAAAUUUCUUCAUUUUUGCUUGUUUUUCUUCUUAUGAACAUCAUAAGUCAGGAAAUUAAUAUUUUAGAGUAUUGCUCUUCUG